UUUUUGUUGGAAUUACGAAUUAGAACCAGGAUUGGUUCUUUGAAGGUGGAUUUGUAAGUAAUUAUUUUAUAUAAUUAAUAAAUGAAGGGUGGAAUAACAUGUGUACAUAUUGCCCGUCGCUCUCGUUUUUUGAGAUAAGUCGUAACAUAGUUGAUGGACUGGAAAGUGUAUCUUUUUGA
rnacentral:rRNA from 1 species